rnacentral:rRNA from 1 species
CAGCAGCCGCGGGAAUACGGAGGGAGCUAGCGUUGUUCGGAAUUACUGGGCGUAAAGCGCGCGUAGGCGGUUACUCAAGUCAGAGGUGAAAGCCCGGGGCUCAACCCCGGAAUUGCCUUUGAGACUGCAUCGCUUGAAUCCAGGAGAGGUGAGUGGAAUUCCGAGUGUAGAGGUGAAAUUCGUAGAUAUUCGGAAGAACACCAGUGGCGAAGGCGGCUCACUGGACUGGUAUUGACGCUGAGGUGCGAAAGCGUGGGGAGCAAACAGGAUUAGAUACCCGGGUAGUCCCUGUCUCUUAUAA